GUGAGAGAGGGGGGGGUUGGGGGGUGAAUAUGUGGUGGGCAAGCGUUUGUCGGGUGUACUGGGCGUAAAGGGAGCGUAGGUGGAUAUUUAAGUGGGAUGUGAAAUACUCGGGCUUAACCGGAGUUCUGCAUUCCAAACUGGAUUUCUAGAGUGCAGGAGAGGAAAGUAGAAUUCCUAGUGUAGCGGUGAAAUGCGUAGAGAUUAGGAAGAAUACCAGUGGCGAAGGCGACUUUCUGGACUGUAACUGACACUGAGGCUCGAAAGCGUGGGGAGCAAACAGGAUUAGAUACCCUGGUAGUC
rnacentral:rRNA from 1 species